GGGUCCGUAGCUCAGGCUGGUAGAGCGGUUGGCUCUUAACCAAUAGGUCGUGGGUUCAAAUCCCACCGGGCCCG
rnacentral:tRNA from 1 species